UUAGGAAAUGGGAAGGAUGGUCCAAUUAACUGCCAAGCAGUCAGACAUAAUUCACUCUGACCAGGCCAAUGAGAGACAAGUCCCAGAAAUGCAUGUCCUGUCCAUUUAUGUAACACCCAAACAUUCCCCCCUGCAAAGUCUCCCCCUCUGGAAGUGUUACCUAACUAAGGAGCAAGCCAGCAUAGGAAAAUCUACCUGUAUCAGGCUGCAUCCAAACCAGCACCCUCUCUGAUUAAGCAACCACCUCAGUGGUACAGGAGACACUGCCAGUCACUAAACUGCUGAACUCGGGCACUAACAGCCAUCACCAAGCAGACAGCCAGAAAGCUCUGUGCAAGGUUAUCCAGGGUACACACCACUGCGCUGUCUUCUCACAUAUCAAUGAACGGGGUAAGAUGUAGAGAGCACAAAAAGGAAAAAAAACCCUGCCUUAUAGGGUGUAGAUAGGCAGGCUUCAUCUCCUUCUUCUGAGUCUCUUCUGCUAGCACAGAAAUAGACAGAAUGUUACUGAAGUGAUAUGACAAUGUUAAAAACAAACAAAUAAAAAACCUAAAGACAAACCAUAUGUAACAGCUGAUUAGGAAAACUGUGAAUCCAGUCACACAGCUGCUCUUCAUGUCCUCUGCCAUGCUUAGUACCCCACCAGUCCAGGGGAAACAGAAGGAGGGCAAAGAGAAAGAAGAAGAGGAGAAAUUUCACAAAAAAUGCUAGAAUGAAAAGAGAAAGUUCUCAGUGAACCACAGUUCUAGCUUGGGAUCCAUCACCUAGGAGGCAGCAGGCAUUUAAAGUGGAGACAGGAGAAAAAAAGAAAGAAAAAAAAAAGCCCACCAAACAUUGAUUCAUAAAUACAAAAUUCAUAUGAUGUUUAUCAAAAGAGUGGAAUCUUUAUUCUGCAACAAAUAUGUGCAGGUGGCACCUGAUCCAUCCUUCGAUAAGGCACCUUUUUUUUGUAUAAUCCUCUUCAUUUUUAAGUGCUAGACUUAAGACUGUCAUGUUUAGAAAUACAUGCUUUAUGCACUAUGAGCAGGAGUGUAAAAAACCCCGGUUGUGUGAAAUAUUUACGUUACGUAUGGCAACAUCCUAUUUGUCAGCCAGUUACCAGGAGCUAAGGAAUCUGUGUGGUACUAGCAAAGUUGCCUUGCAGCAGGGUGUUCUAGCAAGCACGAAUCGGACUAUAUAUGGUAUGUUUACUGAACGAUUAGGCAUAAAGAUGUUACAGAAGAAACGAUGUCUUGUAUUAGAUGCUGGGCUUCCUGCUGCAAGGAAAACCAUCUUGCUCAGAAAGCACUCUGUCACAUAUUCCUCAUACGCUUCUGGCUGCGGGUGCCAGUGAAACCUCUAGAAAACAGGAACAGGUUAUGCUGCAUGUAAUGAUUAACUACGUGGAGGAUCAGCACUCCAAGCUCCGCCCGCCAGCAUUCCCUGUCUCCUCGCAGCUCUUCCUCCCCCGCUACUUUUAGGCUGGGACUGUUCGGCAGGCAACCCUGCAGAGGGUAGGAAGGCACACACACAGGCACAUGCUGCGCUGCCUCUGCGACGAGAUGACGGCCAAAGCCAAGUUGCAGCCCCUUCUUUCCUCUGAUUCCUUUCAUGCUCCAUCACACUCCAGCACAAACACAGGCACACGGGAAGGAGACGCCAGAAAACAAAACAUUGAGUUCAUCACAGACUGAAACUGGAUGCAUAGUUUCCUUACUGGAAGGAACUGGAUCAACUCACCAGGACCAUCGGCCCUCACGUGCCAGACUUCUCACCUUCAUUGCUGCUUUUUGACGUUUAGCAACUCCUCAAGAAACCGUCAAAACUAUACAAAGUGGUAAGGGGGUGGGAAAACAAAGCAAAAAAAAAAAUAACCCUCAAACCACAUACGCAGAAGACUGCAUGCCACACAAAUCUAACCAGAGCACAGUGCAGGAGCAGCAGCAGCCAUCACAGCACCAGGACAUACCAUCAUACCACAGCAGAUUUAUGUCUUCACUGUGUACAGUAUUCACAGGUUUAAUGGAUAGCCCAAAGAUCAGAAAUAUACCUGUUAAGCAAUAAAAGCAUCAACUCAAAGCUGUGCUGGAUGGUUUUUGACAGGUUAAGCGGUUAGUAACCAGCGACAAGAACUUGGUGGUGGCUAAGUAGCCAUUUUAAGCAGCAGACAUACUAAUCGUGGGAGCACAGUAACAAAAGAACCAGGGGCAAAAACAUGCUACAAAAAUGAGGACCCUGAAGAGCUCAGCAGCACACACAUACCCCUCCAUCGCGUGUAAAAUAAACUUGGAGAAGCCAAGAAAGAAGAAAGAUGAUUCCACGACCUCCAGAGCACAGCAAAUCCCUCAGAGCAAUAAGUGCUAGGCAUCAGAAACUUCCUGGUUUCCAGGCCGUUGUUUCACAUUUUCUGGGGAGUUUUCACGCUGUGGGAAAGACUUCCAAGUACACUAAAAGUAAGCCUGCAACAUCCCCUUCCACUCCCACAGCAAGUAUGCAGUCCAUAAAAGAUUAAAGUGUUGGAAACAUA